rnacentral:rRNA from 1 species
AGUGAACGCUGGCGGUAGGCCUAACACAUGCGAGUCGAACGGCAGCACAGUAAGAGCUUGCUCUUACGGGUGGCGAGUGGCGGACGGGUGAGGAAUACAUCGGAAUCUACUUUUUCGUGGGGGAUAACGUAGGGAAACUUACGCUACUACCGCAUACGAUCUACGGGUGAAAGCAGGGGAUCUUCGGACCUUGCGCGAUUGAAUGAGCCGAUGUCGGAUUAGCUAGUUGGCGGGGUAAAGGCCCACCAAGGCGACGAUCCGUAGCUGGUCUGAGAGGAUGAUCAGCCACACUGGAACUGAGACACGGUCCAGACUCCUACGGGAGGCAGCAGUGGGGAAUAUUGGACAAUGGGCGCAAGCCUGAUCCAGCCAUACCGCGUGAGUGAAGAAGGCCUUCGGGUUGUAAAGCCCUGUUGUUGGGAAAGAAAAGCAGCAGGUUAAAACCCCGCUGUUCUGACGGUACCCAAAGAAUAAGCACCGGCUAACUUCGUG